AGUUUGCCGUAGCUCGUGGGUAGUGCUGUUCAGAAAGUCAUGUCUCACAACAUAUUGAGAGAGAAAAUAUAUAAAAAAGAAGAAGAGCUCUCCCGAUAUUUAAUAGUUCCUAAUGUUGAAAGAAAAACCAACUUAUCUCAGACGCCUCCCGGUUCGAAGAGCUUAGAGGCCAGUGUCCCCUCUCCAGGUAUAGACCAGUGAUCCCAGUCCAGGGUUAGACCAGUGAUCCCAGUCCAGGGUUAGACCAGUGAUCCCAGUCCAGGGUUAGACCAGUGAUCCCAGUCCAGGGUUAGACCAGUGAUCCCAGUCCAGGUUUAGACCAGUGAUCCCAGUCCAGGUUUAGACCAGUGGAGUGAGGUGGAGUGAGGUGGAGUCGGGUGGAGGCCCCAGCUAGUUGAGCGCGUGCUGUCUGAUGGUGUGGAAGAUCCAGUCCAUCUUAGUGGUCCAGCCCCCGUGAUGCGCGUCGUUCAUCUGCUUCAUGAAGUAGUC